UUGCUCAUUCUCAUCAUCCCACAUUUGCCAUUCUCUACUUAAGGCAAUUGUUCUCUCUCCCUAUUUGUAAAGUUUCACUUGUAUUUUUGGAGUGAAAUAUAUUUGGUAGUGCCCGAGGACGUAGGCAAGAUUUGCCGAACCUCGUUAAAAUUCUGGUGUUCUUUACUAUUUAUUGUUCAUAUUUUGUGAAUUUGAUUGUAGUGAUUUAUUGUGCUAUUAAAUUACGAUAGAGGGAUAUUCUGGCUAGGAAAGACUUGGUACUUAAGUGAUCCUCGUGAUCCACCUCUCUUUCCUGGGAAUUGAACUUAGUGUGAUUUUUUAGUACAAUAAUUUUACUCUUUCACACGCUUCCGCGCAACAAUUGGUAUCAGAGCCAGAUUCGUACUUGGAGAAUACGACCGUUUACGGUACUAUUCACGUAUACGGCACUAUUCACGUAUACAGUACUAUUCACGUAUAUGGCACUAUUCACGUAUACGGUACUGUUCACGUAUACAGUAGUUGGGAUUGAGGAGAAAAAUGGCAGCAGCAUCGUCAUCAGCAAGGACUACUGUAACAAAUGCAAAAUUUGAAGUAGAAAAAUUUGACGGUACCAAUAAUUUUGGUAUGUGGCAGUGUGAGAUCCUGAAUGUCUUAUGUCAGCAAGAGCUGGAUAUAGCCCUUGAAGAAAAACCUGACAAGAUGGAUGACAAGGAGUGGGCCAAGAUCAAUAGACAGGCGUGUGGUACAAUCCGCCUAUGUUUGGCCAAAGAGCAGAAGUACUCCGUCAUGAGGGAGACAUCAGCGAAGAAGCUGUGGGAUACAUUGGAAGAAAAGUUUCUAACGAAAAGUCUUGAAAAUAGGCUUUAUAUGAAAAAGAAACUUUAUCGAUUCACGUAUGCACCCGGUAUGUCGAUGAAUGACCAUGUGAACUCAUUCAAUAAAAUUUUAGCAGACUUGCUAAAUUUGGAUGAGAAAUUUGAAGAUGAAGACAAGGCAUUAUUAUUGUUGAAUUCCCUUCCUGAUGAAUAUGAUCAUCUUACCACCACAUUGCUUCAUGGGAAGGACACGAUCACAUUUGAUGCAGUCUGUAGUGCGUUGUAUAGAUCUGAGACUCGAAAGAAAGAUAAAAGAGAUCACAGAGAUACAACCGCAGAAGUCUUAACAGUAAGAGGUCGUUCACACAGCAGCAAACCUGGUAGAAGGGGUAAGUCCAAAGGGAGACCCGCCAAAGAUGAAUGUGCCUUUUGUCGUGAGAAAGGGCAUUGGAAAAAGAAUUGUCCUAAGUUACAAAAGGGCAAGUCUAUUUCUAAUGCAUGUGUAGCGAAGCAUGAUGAGGAGUCAGACUUUAGCUUGGUUGGCAUGGCAAUGGCAUGUCAAACGGAUGAGUGGAUAUUGGAUUCGGGAUGUACUUACCAUAUGUGUCCUAAUAAGGACUGGUUUUCUAGUCUUGAAGAACUAGAAGGUGGAGUUGUUUUUAUGGGCAAUGAUAGUGCCUGUAAGACAAUGGGUGUAGGUACAAUCAAAUUGAAGAACCAUGACGGCUCAAUCCAAGUUCUGACAGAUGUUCGCUAUGUACCCAGCUUGAAGAAAAAUCUCAUCUCAUUAGGGGCCCUAGAAUCUAAAGGGUUCACAAUCACUUUGAGAGAUGGAUUACUAAAGGUAGUAGCUGGGGUAUUGACGGUGAUGAAAGGCACUAGAAGAAAUAACUUGUACUAUUUAAAUGGAAGUACAGUUAUUGGAUCAACAUCAACAGCUUCUGCGAAAGAUGCAGAUUCAGAGGCUACCAGGUUAUGGCAUAGGCGAUUGGGACAUGCUGGUGAAAAAGCUUUGCAGACUUUGGCGAAGCAAGGCUUGUUGAAAGGUGCAAAUUCUUGCAAAUUGGAAUUCUGUGAACAUUGUGUUCUGGGCAAGCAGACGAGGGUAAAAUUUGGUUCAGCAAUUCACAAUACGAAAGGAAUUCUGGACUAUGUUCACAGUGAUGUGUGGGGACCUACCAAAGUGGCUUCUUUGGGAGGUAUGCACUAUUUUGUCACUUUUCUUGAUGAUUAUUCAAGAAAAGUAUGGGUGUAUCUAAUGAAAAGAAAAAAUGAAGUUUUGGAUGCAUUUCUGAAGUGGAAGAAGAUGGUGGAGACUCAGACAGGUCGAAAGGUCAAACGACUUCGAUCAGAUAAUGGUACUGAGUACAAAAAUGAUCCAUUUCUACAAGUAUGUCAAGAUGAGGGCAUUGUGCGACACUUCACUGUUCGAGAUACACCACAGCAGAAUGGGGUGGCAGAACGCAUGAAUCGGACUAUACUGGAGAAAGUUCGAUGUAUGUUGUCCAAUGCUGGAUUGGGCAAGGAAUUUUGGGCUGAGGCAGUUACAUAUGCGUGCCAUCUAAUUAACCGAUUGCCAUCAGCUGCAAUAAAUGGAAAAACUCCUAUGGAGAUGUGGACUGGUAAACCUGCUACUGAUUAUGAUUCUUUACAUGUUUUUGGUUCCACUGCAUAUUAUCAUGUAAAAGAAUCUAAGUUAGACCCAAGAGCAAAGAAAGCAUUAUUCAUGGGUAUAACUGGUGGUGUAAAAGGAUACCGUCUCUGGUGUCCUGAUACAAGGAAGAUUGUUUUCAGUAGAGAUGUAACUUUUGAUGAAUCAACCAUGAUGAAGAACGAGGAUUCACAAAAGGAUGACAAAACCAGUAGUACUUUGCAGCAGGUGGAGUUUGAAAAGGUUAAUGAUGAUCCAGCUAAUAUUGAAAGAACAAAUGAUGAAGAAGUUUCGACCCAAGAACUUCUACAGCAACAAGAUUCAAUUGCAUAUAGGAGGCCAAGAAGAGAGAUUCGUAAGCCUGCUCGCUUUGACGAUAUGGUGGCCUAUGCACUUCCAAUUGCAGAUGAUGAUGUUCCUUCCACUUACACAGAAGCAAUAAGUAACUCUGAUGGUGUAAAGUGGAAGCAAGCUAUGAAUGAAGAAAUGCAGUCUCUUUAUAAAAAUAGGACUUGGGAGUUGGUGAGACUGCCCAAGGGAAAGAAGGCAAUUGGAUGCAAAUGGGUAUAUGCAAAGAAGGAAGAAUUUCCUGGUAAAAAUGAAAUUCGAUUCAAGGCUAGAUUGGUAGCAAAGGGUUACGCUCAGAAAGAAGGAAUAGACUACAAUGAAGUGUUUUCUCCAGUUGUGAAGCAUUCGUCUAUUCGGAUUUUGCUAGCCUUGGUUGCGCAAUAUGAUCUUGAACUAGUUCAGCUUGAUGUGAAGACCGCGUUUUUACACGGUGAUUUGGAAGAGGAAAUCUAUAUGACUCAGCCAGAUGGAUUCAAGGUUGCUGGAAAAGAAAAUUGGAUUUGCAAACUGACAAAGUCGCUUUAUGGAUUGAAGCAAUCUCCGAGGCAGUGGUACAAGCGAUUUGAUCAGUUCAUGAAAGGGCAAAGGUACACAAGAAGUAAAUUUGAUCAUUGCGUGUAUUUUCAGAAGCUACAAGAAGGAACUUUCAUAUACUUGCUCUUAUAUGUUGAUGAUAUGCUAAUAGCAUCUAAGAGCAAAGUUGAGAUUGAAAGAUUGAAGACUCAACUCAAUCUCGAGUUUGAGAUGAAAGAUCUAGGAUAAGCUAAAAAGAUUCUCGGCAUGGAAAUAUGUAGAGAUAGAGCUCAUGGCAGAGUUAGCUUGUCUCAGAAGCAGUAUUUGAAGAAAGUACUACAGCAGUUUGGUAUGAACGAGCAGACCAAACCUGUAAGUACCCCGUUGGCUUCUCAUUUCAAGCUUUCUGCACAACUAUCUCCUUCGACGAAUACGGAACAAGAAUACAUGUUGCAAGUUCCGUAUUCUAAUGCAGUGGGUAGCUUGAUGUAUGCAAUGGUGUGUACAAGACCCGACAUUUCACAGGCAGUUAGUAUAGUGAGCAGGUAUAUGCAUAAUCCUGGAAAAGGACAUUGGCAAGCUGUGAAAUGGAUUCUACGGUAUAUUCAGAAGACCGUGGAUGUUGGAUUACUGUUCAAGCAGGAUAAUACACUUGGUAAAGGUGUUAUUGGGUACGUUGAUUCUGACUAUGCCGGUGAUUUGGACAAGCGAAGAUCAACCACCGGUUAUGUGUUUACACUUGCUGGAGGACCAAUAAGUUGGAAGUCUACACUACAGUCUACAGUUGCAUUGUCAACCACAGAAGCCGAGUACAUGGCUGUCACAGAGGCUGUAAAGGAGGCUGUUUGGUUACAAGGUAUGGCUAAAACCUUGGGGUUGGUUCAGGAGCAUAUUAACGUGUAUUGUGAUAGUCAAAGUGCUAUUCAUUUAGCAAAGAAUCAAGUCUAUCAUGCACGUACAAAACAUAUCGACGUACGAUUCCAUUUUGUGCGGGAAAUUAUUGAAGAGGGGAAAAUUUGUCUUCAGAAGAUCAAGACUGCAGAUAAUCCCGCAGAUAUGAUGACCAAGGUGGUAACAGCAACCAAGUUCGAACAUUGUUUGAACUUGAUUAAUAUCCUGCAAGUUUAACAGUUGAAGAAGGCACUAUCAAGUAUUGUUGUCAAAAGCAGAAAGAAUUGUGUGAAGAUAAGAUUAUCCUAAUCAAAUCUUCAAGGUGGAGAUUAUUAGAAUAUACCCAUACCCCAUACCUUGCCCAUACCUUUCCCAUACCUACCCAUACUUUGGAAAGGUCAAAGUUAUGGGCACCAAAUAUUUUAUUUAGUGUUGGGCAUGGGAAAAUAGCAAUUUUUGGUCCCUAAGUGAAUAGUGACUUUGCAAGGUGGCCCUUGAAUCUCAACUAUAAAUAGGCCAACCAUUGCUCAUUCUCAUCAUCCCACAUUUGCCAUUCUCUACUUAAGGCAAUUGUUCUCUCUCCCUAUUUGUAAAGUUUCACUUGUAUUUUUGGAGUGAAAUAUAUUUGGUAGUGCCCGAGGACGUAGGCAAGAUUUGCCGAACCUCGUUAAAAUUCUGGUGUUCUUUACUAUUUAUUGUUCAUAUUUUGUGAAUUUGAUUGUAGUGAUUUAUUGUGCUAUUAAAUUACGAUAGAGGGAUAUUCUGGCUAGGAAAGACUUGGUACUUAAGUGAUCCUCGUGAUCCACCUCUCUUUCCUGGGAAUUGAACUUAGUGUGAUUUUUUAGUACAAUAAUUUUACUCUUUCACACGCUUCCGCGCAACAAUUUGAG
rnacentral:lncRNA from 1 species